rnacentral:tRNA from 1 species
CCCGGGGUAGCUCAGCCGUAGAGCAAUCGGUCGAUAACCGAUAGGUCGGAGGUUCAAAUCCUUCUCCUGGGACCA